GACGAACGCUGGCGGCGUGCUUAACACAUGCAAGUCGAACGAAGUGGCGAACGGGUGAGUAACGCGUAAUCAACCUGCCCUUCAGAGGGGGACAACAGUGGGAAACGACUGCUAAUACCGCAUACUGAAGGAGGGGAUUGCGUCUGAUUAGCUAGUUGGAGGGGUAACGGCCCUCCGAGGCGAUGAUCAGUAGCCGGUCUGGGAGGAUGGACGGCCACAUUGGGACUGAGACACGGCCCAGACUCCCUCGGGAGGCAGCAGUGGGGAAACGUCCGCAAUGGGCGAAAGUCUUACGGAGCAACGCCGCGUGAUUGAUGACGGCCUUCGGGUUGGAAAGCUCUGUUAAUCGGGACGCGGUACCGGAAUAGAAAGCCACGGCUAACUACGUGCCAGCAGCCGCGGUAAUAC
rnacentral:rRNA from 1 species